AAUAAAGCAAUCAAAAAAGAUAUGUCCAAAAUUAAAUGUUGGACGCUCCAUUAGAACACUCGAGAAACUAGACGUUUAAAUGUUGUACCGUCAAUAAAAGCAUACAGGGAUGGAGGUGAAUCAUUCUAUUUUUCUAUUAUCAUGCUCCGAACCUGGAGUGGAGCAGACGCCGGAUAUCUGUAUAGAAGACCAUAUAAACAUGCAAGACUAUAGAUUAUAUCAAAACAAUAAUAAUUUCUAAAAUUUAUUUAAUCAAGAAUCUAUCCAAAUAGUUUUUAUAAUAGAUCGAAAGUGACAUAAGUCAACAUUUGCUAGCUACUAACAUAAAUCAAAUAAAAUAUUCUAACUAGACUGGAUAAACUCUGACUGGAAGUAUCUUCAAAAGAACUAGCACACUCUCUAAGAUCCGAGCAAUCAUGCAUCCGGAUAUGAAAAAUAGAAAAAAUAUAAUAAUGGGUUAUAUUAGCCCAAUUAGCAACAUAACAUCCCAAAAUGGGAUCAAAGCAUGCCAAAUAAUUAGCACAAAAUAUUGACUGAAAAAUAAAUUAUUUCCAUAUUUCUUUUGAAGAAUACUAUUGUUUUCACAAGAAAUACCAGAAACUAGAUGUCAGAAAUCAAAAGUCAGAAAUCAAGCUAUGACCACGUACCUAGUGGCAUCGGUCAAAAUGUACAAAGUACCAAAAACCACUAUUAUUAACUACUAGUGGCACGGUGUCCCAAAUAUCACUAUUUUCAUCACCGACGGUGCGGUGUCGAAGCUAGUUUCUCAUAGAUUACAAGUUAACAAGGCCAACAAAUAAUUUUCAUUGGCAGGGCCAGAUCAGAUCAUAGUCGUGCUGAGAAUGCAUAUUUAUAAAAUAAAUUUUUCAUGAUUUGCCGAGUCACAUUUUUUAGAUUUCAAACAUAGCACAAAAUAUAUUUUAAAUAAUCAUAACAUUAACAUGUCUGACCCGUUUAACUAAGUUUAAAACAUAUUUCAUAAUUAAUUUAAUCAAAUUAUUAUUAUUUUACUAAAAAUUUGAAAAACAUACUUUAAAGUAUUAGGUUACUUAUCUCUUAUCACUUUAAAAUAUCACUCCACUUAGAUGGGUCAGGUGCACCAAUUUUAAUAUAAUUAAAAAAUUAUAAAUUUCAUCAUCAUUUUAGAAGUCAAGCGAAAUCAAAAUCAAACACUAGUGGAUAAUGGCCUCAUGUUCCCAAAUCAGGUCGGUCAGGUGACAGUGCCUGACUACCCAAGUCGGUCAGAGCAAAGAGGAUUCAACAGGUUAGGUGCAGAUCAAAAGUGGCCAAAUCUAACUAGGGCUGAAGUAAUGGGCCGAUCUACUGCCGAGUACCGGAGCAAUUCAGGGUCUCCAAACUGAGUCAACUUGGAUCUGGAAAAUAAAAAAAAAAAGCAGGGCUUAUACUAGGAUUCCUAAGCCUAUCUAUAGAGAGAAAAAGGAAGAAGAGAAAGAAUCUGAACUCGGGUUCAAUCAAGAUUCUGAGUUUGGUAUGUCAUAGUGGUAUAAAUCAUCACUGCAUCUGGUCCAUGGGCCAAGAAGAGAAAUUAACAAUUAGAAAGGAACUAUAAUAUAUAUAUAUAUAUAUGAAUUAAUAAAUAAACAAAUAAAUAAAGGAACUAAGAAUGAAAACUAAGAAGAAAAGGAAGAAGGGAAGGAAGAGUGGGAAAGAAAGAGAAGAGGAGAGCAGAGUAGAGGAGAGGAGAGGUUGAGGAAGAGAGUCAGUGGCCAAUCCUAGUAGUCGACGGCCAGCCGACGACGCCAGCGAUGGCCAGCGGCUGCUGUGGUGGCCGGCGAAGAAGGAAGAUCGAGAGCGUUCUCGAUUUAGCCCGAAACAGAGGAAAGGGAAACAACUUGGCUCAGCUAAGAAUCAAAGAACAGAGGGAACGAAGUUUACCGGCAGUCAAUGGAGGUGGCGAUUCUCAGCCGAGGGUGGCUCGGUCCGGCGGCUAGCGGUGGAGGAGCUCGAAACAGGGAGAAGGAGAAAAACAAGGCCAUUGGUGGUCUAGAGGGAAAAGGAAGGGACUUCAGCGAUAGCACUUGGCCGAGGCGGCACCCCGAUCACCGGAGAAGAGGAAGGAGAAGGAGAAGAGGUGCUCAGUGGGGCUCAGAGGUGGGCCAAUAGCCGAGAAACGGAAGAUUUAUAGGAGGGUUUUCAAAGGGGAUAAGCUUGGGAGUGGUUGCUCUGCCAUAAUUCUCACAGCGGAUAGGCCCG
rnacentral:lncRNA from 1 species